rnacentral:lncRNA from 1 species
AGUCCUCCUGCUCGGCGGAGCCUCGCGCGCGCAGAGCCUAGCGCGAUUCGCGCCCUCAUUACUACUACAAAGCGCGGGCCAGACCAAUCCCCUUUCUAAUGCACCAUUUUCGACUGAGAACAUCAAGAGGCCAGAAACUUCCAAGUCAGCUUGCAGACGCAGACGCCUCCUGGGGUCCUGGCUUUAAGAACCAGAUGCCAACACUCCCGGACAGUUUAUGGCAUCCGGAUCCCUCAAGGGUGCUCAUCUGCAGUUGAGAGUCUAAUAAAUGGCAUUAACAAAGCGUUUCAGCGACUACCACGGCUUCACAGUGGCUCCUCCCCUGCCCUGCCACCAUUCAGGCUGUAAUUCCUUCCAGGAUUCCCGCACCAUCCUGUGUGCCCAGAGCUCUCUAGAGCACCAGGAUUCUGUGUGAAGAAUACAGAGACAGACGUUCCAUUUCAAAGAAAAAAGAGCAACACGAAGGCCCUCUUUAAGGAGAGAGUAAACAUUCACUUUAGGUAAAAAAUAGUCUUUUACACGCCUGUGCACGGCACACCUCUUUUGCUGUUCACCUUGAGCCCAAGAGUUUGGAAAGGCUGCCCCCAUUUCAGAGAGGAAGAAACGCAGGCACACGUGAAUGACAGACUCCUCUGUGGUGGCCUAGACUCCAGCCAACACUUCCUAGGACAGCCUGCCAUUGUGCAAAGUCACCAUGUAACAAAUGCAGACAUCUCUGAGAUCACCAUGCAGUGAGGAAGUCUAAGCUGGUGGCAUGAAGAGGCCACAUGGAAAGGGCUAAAAAAGGGGCCAGCCUCAGUCAUCCCAGCUGAGCACCUGGCUGGGAAUAAAAGAGGACUCCGUGGAUGUCCAGCCCAGUAAGAUGACCUCAGCCCCAGCCACCAACUGACCAAGCACACAAGACAUCGUGAGGCUGCCUGCUGGAGCCUGGCCAGUGGGACUGUAGAGUAACUCAUUGUCGUGCAGGAACUCCUGGGAUGGUGUUGCCCAGUGACACAAUCCCAGUGUGGCCAUUUCUGAUCCCGAGAAAGCAGUCAGGAGUGGGUGGAUGCAGUUACAGUUCAUCAAGUCCUGCUAGUUCAAGUCAUGAGUCCUGAAUUCUCCAGGAGGAGCCACUAAAGAAAUGCAGAAGCAGGCAAUCCUUGCAAUAAGGCCAGCAAACUGCCAGUGUGAAGGAUGCCCAGGUAACCUGCCCAUGCCAGAACGGCCAGGAGAUGGUGGAACCAGAAUCUAAGCCCACGCCCAUCUGACCUCAAAGUCUGUGCUCCUGAGGUUCGCACCG